AUUGAACGCUGGCGGCAUGCCUUACACAUGCAAGCCGAACGGCAGCACGGGUGCUUGCCCCUGGUGGCGAGUGGCGAACGGGUGAGUAAUACAUCGGAACAUGUCCUGUAGUGGGGGAUAGCCCGGCGAAAGCCGGAUUAAUACCGCAUACGAUCUACGGAUGAAAGCGGGGGACCUUCGGGCCUCGCGCUAUAGGGUUGGCCGAUGGCUGAUUAGCUAGUUGGUGGGGUAAAGGCCUACCAAGGCGACGAUCAGUAGCUGGUCUGAGAGGACGACCAGCCACACUGGGACUGAGACACGGCCCAGACUCCUACGGGAGGCAGCAGUGGGGAAUUUUGGACAAUGGGCGAAAGCCUGAUCCAGCAAUGCCGCGUGUGUGAAGAAGGCCUUCGGGUUGUAAAGCACUUUUGUCCGGAAAGAAAUCCUUGGCCCUAAUACGGUCGGGGGAUGACGGUACCGGAAGAAUAAGCACCGGCUAACUACGU
rnacentral:rRNA from 1 species